ACAUCAAAUUCUAAACCAACCAUGUUUGUCACAUCUACGUUGCUGUUGGUACUGGUUGCUACAUGUGUCCACUCUCAGGUUGUCCUCACCCAGUCUGAGCAAUCAGUAGCAGUCAUACCAGGUGGAUCCCACAAACUGACCUGUGCCUGCAGUGGAUUCAGUGUGGGGGGUGCUUACAUGCACUGGAUCCGUCAGGCUCCUGGAAAAGGACUAGAAUGGAUCAUUUACUAUUAUUCUGAUUCUUACAAGAGCACAGCCCAGGCAGUACAGGGCAGGUUCACAGCAUCUAAGGACAGCUCUAAUUUCUACCUGCAUAUGAGUCAACUGAAGCCAGAAGACUCUGCUGUGUAUUACUGUGCUAGAGAGUCACAGUGAGAGAGGACAGAGGGAAAGCUGUACAAAAACACUUCCUCAUUCAUAUCAGUGUAGAUGAAAAUGAAGAGAUCUCAGACAGAGUAAAAUAUUUCACUUUUUCAUGUUAUGAUGUCAAACAUUCCAGUGACAUGAAACUGUUGUGAAAUGCUGUGUGUGUGUGUGUGUGUGUGUGUGUGUGUGUGUGUGUGUGUGUGUGUUGUGUGAAUGCUGACCUCAUUAAGGAAAACCAUGUGAUUAUCUUAACAUGCUUUUGUUACAAUUAUUUUGAAUCUCUUGCU